AGUAGGAGUUAAGGUCUUGAAACUCAAAAGAUUUGACGGUAACUUAAGCUUUUAGAGGAAUCUGUUUCGUAAUCGAUAAUACACGAUUUAUUUGACUUGUUCUAGUAUAUUCAGCUUGUAUACCGCUGUCGUAAGUUUGUCUUUUUAGAGGUAAUUUUCUAAAAUAAUAAUGUUAAUAAUGUCAGGUCAAGGUGCAGUUUAUGGACAAGAGUUUAAUGGAUUACAAUAAGUUUAUUUAAAUGGAUUUGUAUUUGAAAAAUACAAUGAAGGUGGAUUUAAAAGUAAUGUUUAGAAAAUUAAAAUGUGAAUAUGAUAUUAAGUUGUGU
rnacentral:rRNA from 1 species